UACAUUGACUCUGUCACUUAUUUUCCUCCCCAUUUCCACAUCCCCCCACUCUGCAGGUGAGGCAUUUCCAGCUUGCCCCAUUGACCUCUUCACUCUUGACCAGCCUACAAUUCCCUCCCUUGGUCAGAGGUCGUCUUCCUUAGGGGAGGCUGCUGAGAGGGACAAAGAACUCGCAGCAGGGGCUCCUCAGCCCACUGUCAGAGAAAAAGACCUAGACCAACGGCUUCUUUGGCUUUCUGCAAAGUAUCAGAAAAAGGAAAUUUGGAAACAGCACACACGCAGAAGAAUGUCAUGCUAAGAGAAAGGAUCAGGGUGAAGCUUCUACAAGCCAAGGAAUACCAAAGACUGCCACCCUACCACCAGAAGCCAGGGGAGAAGCAAGGAACAGGCUCUUCCUCAGAGGACUGAGGAGGAACCAACCUUGUCAGCAUCUUGCUCUUGGACUUCUCACCUCCAGAACAGCGAGAGAACACAUUUCUGUUGUUGAAGCCACCAGUUCAUGUUACUUUGUUACAGCAGCCCUAGCAAACUCUUACCUUCCUCCAUGUCCAGCUCUAAUUCUCCAACAUUUUCCCCUAAGUGAUAGCAAUUUUCUUCUUUCAGUAAAUAAACUGAGAUAUUGUGGAAAGUGAAAGAAAAAAUA